rfam:Clavispora lusitaniae ATCC 42720 scaffold_3 genomic scaffold, whole genome shotgun sequence.
GCGGUUUUAGCUCAGUUGGGAGAGCGUCAGACUGAAGAUCUGAAGGUCCUGUGUUCGAUCCACAGAAAUCGCA